rnacentral:rRNA from 1 species
GAUGAACGCUGGCGGCGUGCCUAAUACAUGCAAGUCGAGCGAAUGGAUUAAGAGCUUGCUCUUAUGAAGUUAGCGGCGGACGGGUGAGUAACACGUGGGUAACCUGCCCAUAAGACUGGGAUAACUCCGGGAAACCGGGGCUAAUACCGGAUAACAUUUUGAACCGCAUGGUUCGAAAUUGAAAGGCGGCUUCGGCUGUCACUUAUGGAUGGACCCGCGUCGCAUUAGCUAGUUGGUGAGGUAACGGCUCACCAAGGCAACGAUGCGUAGCCGAGCGGGGAGGGUGAUCGGCCACACUGGGACGGAGACACGGCCCAGACUCCUACGGGAGGCAGCAGUAGGGAAUCUUCCGCAAUGGACGAAGGUCUGACGGAGCAACGCCGCGUGAGUGAUGAAGGCUUUCGGGUCGUAAAACUCUGUUGUUAGGGAAGAACAAGUGCUAGUUGAAGAAGCUGGCACCUUGACGGUACCUAACCAGAAAGCCACGGCUAACUACGUGCCAGCCGCCGCCGUAA